rnacentral:rRNA from 1 species
GGGGUAUAGUUCUUCGGAACUAGAGACCGGCGCACGGGUGCGUAACGCGUAUGCAAUCUACCUUUCACAGAGGGAUAGCCCAGAGAAAUUUGGAUUAAUACCUCAUAGUAUGUAUGAAUGGCAUCAUUUAUACAUUAAAGUCACAACGGUGAAAGAUGAGCAUGCGUCCCAUUAGCUAGAUGGUAAGGUAACGGCUUACCAUGGCAACGAUGGGUAGGGGUCCUGAGAGGGAGAUCCCCCACACUGGUACUGAGACACGGACCAGACUCCUACGGGAGGCAGCAGUGAGGAAUAUUGGACAAUGGGCGCAAGCCUGAUCCAGCCAUGCCGCGUGCAGGAUGACGGUCCUAUGGAUUGUAAACUGCUUUUGUACAGGAAGAAACACUGGUUCGUGAACCAGCUUGACGGUACUGUAAGAAUAAGGAUCGGCUAACUCCGUGCCAGCAGCCGCGGUAAUACGGAGGAUCCAAGCGUUAUCCGGAAUCAUUGGGUUUAAAGGGUCCGUAGGCGGUUUAGUAAGUCAGUGGUGAAAGCCCAUCGCUCAACGGUGGAACGGCCAUUGAUACUGCUAAACUUGAAUUAUUAGGAAGUAACUAGAAUAUGUAGUGUAGCGGUGAAAUGCUUAGAGAUUACAUGGAAUACCAAUUGCGAAGGCAGGUUACUACUAAUGGAUUGACGCUGAUGGACGAAAGCGUGGGUAGCGAACAGGAUUAGAUACCCUGGUAGCCCACGCCGUAAACGAUGGAUACUAGCUGUUGGGCGCAAGUUCAGUGGCUAAGCGAAAGUGAUAAGUAUCCCACCUGGGGAGUACGU